GUCUGACAUGAACAAAAAUUGUUUUUAGAAUUUGCUUACAAUUUAGAUACAUACUCCUUUUUCCUCAAGAAACCAGUGGAAUUUCUUCUUUAAAUUAACUUGAUUCUAGCCAGCUCUUUUUGGAAGAGUACUUCAGGGCGACAUGGUUUUCUUCUUGCUGAAGAAUUAAAACAAUCAAGAUAAUACAAAAUUAUUUAAAUAGAUAUAAAUUACCAUUGUUAUACCAUUCAAAUGGGAAAACCAACAGUCUAAUCUAUAUAUAUAAAAAUCCAUGAAUGUUACCAACCCACAACUUCCUGAACCAGAGACAAGAGAUGUACACAACGAAAAACCAUCCAGGCUGCUCAAUGACUUAUCACAUUCAUAUUGAGGACAUCAGAAGGUUUAUGAUAUCAUAAAAAAUAAGUUUGAAUUUUUUUUUUUUUGGCAUUCAACUUAAAUUGUUGAAAAUAUGCAAGAUUGUAGUUCCACUAUAGAAACAAAACAUAUAGAUAUAAAAUAACACAUGGUUACAAAAAAAAAAAAAAAAAAACCCUGUCUGCUGCUUCUUUAAAAUUUUCCCAUGUUAGGGGAAACCAACAAUUAUUUUCCAUGGCCUAAUGCAUGUUGUGAGGUAAAAUUACAUAUUGGCUGUACCACAGAAAUAUAGUAUGUAUUAAAUGCGUAGGACUCUAAAGUGCAAUGGUUUAUAUUUGUUUUUUAAAUGCGAUCACAGGACAUGCUAAAAAGCGAUGGUAUGACACGCUAAAGUGCGAUGGUAUAUUACACGCUAAAGCAUGUUGGUUUUAGACGCUAAAGUGCAAUGGUGUAAGGCCAAAAUUCAAAAUAUGUUUGUUUGCCCUCCCCCCACCCGUGUCAAAAAUAAGCCCCUGGGUCAAAAAAUUAUUUUCCACAAAAAAAUCGAAAUUAUUUUUUUCCUGAAAAUAAUUUGUUUCCAUUUUUGGAAAGUGCUUGAAAGCAGGAGGAUUGAUAAUUUAAAUAAAUACACUCAAAUUGAGCACAAACAACUGAUAAGUGGACUGGACUGGACAAGUCAAACCAUUCAUGUGACCAUGCUAUGACAAUCGCAUCCAGUUAAAAAAAAAAGAAAAAAAAAAGAACCCGUCUUCCUGGUCUGUUUACAAAGGGUUGACCUGGGGGAGGGGAAACAGACAUUCUUUUAAAUGUGGCCUUACAUUUUUGUUACUGUGGAUGAUUUUGUUGGGAAAAACGCUUCCGCAUACAAUCUCUAUAUGAACCGACAAAAAAUGUUUUGGAUAAUUUGUAUCUCUUUUUUUUGUUUUGUAAAAUUAACCUUCAUCUCCACAAAACGACAUGUCCAUACAAAUAUUUUAUGUUCAAAAGUGUAGUAGCUUCAUAAUGCAAACGUCCACACUUACGCCAACAAACCGAUGAUGCAAACGAAACUCCAGAAAAUUAUGACUAAAUAAUAAGCAAUUAAACUUCAGAC
rnacentral:lncRNA from 1 species